rnacentral:lncRNA from 1 species
AAUGCAUUGUUUAUCCUCAUCUGAUGCACCUAAUUGUGGCCUCUUCUACCUUUUCCACAGUCUCCAAACUUCAAUCUCAAAUCCCUAUCCAAAGUGCUCGGCUUCACCUUCAAAGACUAAGACAAGGUUGUCGCACGGCUAGGGCUUGGCCUGCGACAUGCAGAGAACGGGCUGACUUCCACGGCUCGGAGUUUCUUCCCUGAAGAACACCAUGGCCAUUUUUCAAUUGUUCCAUAAAGGACAGCAUCAAUACUUUGGGCAUGAUAAGGCAGAUAUUUCUUUUUCAUAGAACACAAUGACAUAUUUAUCUGCCUACUUGAUUUUAACUCAGGAAGGGUAGAUGUUUUAUUCAUCAAAUUUUUAACUUAAUGUAUAAAAGAUCAAGAAAUUGGGAAUUAUUUGGUAAAAUAUUGUUUUAUAUACAGUUUUGAAAUAUUAAUAUUAUAAUACAACACAUAUUGUAUAAAGGGCUUUAUUAGAUGAGAGAGAGAAAAAAAAAAGUGUUUCCCCAAUGCGUUAAUAGUAUUUCAACCUUAGCCAUCAUGAAAGCUUCAGAACUUAUCACUUCAUGCUCUGUGUAACUGAAUCCUGUUUCAUGGGUUUCAAAUUUAAUCUCAUUUAUUGUAUUUAAAUGAUUUUAUUGUAAGACUACCUAGGAAAAAUAAUUUUCAUUUUCACAUUAGAGACAUUUCAUGU